UACGUAGGGCGCAAGCGUUGUCCGGAAUUAUUGGGCGUAAAGAGCUCGUAGGCGGUUUGUCGCGUCUGCUGUGAAAAACCUAAGGCUCAACCUUGGGCUUGCAGUGGGUACGGGCAGACUAGAGUGCGGUAGGGGUGACUGGAAUUCCUGGUGUAGCGGUGAAAUGCGCAGAUAUCAGGAGGAACACCAACGGCGAAGGCAGCACUCUGGGCCGG
rnacentral:rRNA from 1 species